rnacentral:rRNA from 1 species
GUUGGGUAGGGGAGCGUUCUGUAAGCCUGCGAAGGUGUACUGUGAGGUAUGCUGGAGGUAUCAGAAGUGCGAAUGCUGACAUAAGUAACGAUAAUGCGGGUGAAAAACCCGCACGCCGGAAGACCAAGGGUUCCUGUCCAACGUUAAUCGGGGCAGGGUGAGUCGACCCCUAAGGCGAGGCUGAAAAGCGUAGUCGAUGGGAAACGGGUUAAUAUUCCCGUACUGGUGGUAACUGCGAUGGGGGAACGGAGAAGGCUAGGUUGUCCGGGCGACGGUCGUCCCGGUUCAAGCAGGUAGGCAGAGUGAUUAGGCAAAUCCGGUCACUUAAUGCUGAGAUGUGAUGACGAACCACCAAGGUGGUGAAGCAAUUGAUGCCCCGCUUCCAGGAAAAGCCUCUAAGCUUCAGGUUACCAACAAUCGUACCCCAAACCGACACAGGUGGUCAGGUAGAGAAUACUCAGGCGCUUGAGAGAACUCGGGUGAAGGAACUAGGCAAAAUGGUGCCGUAACUUCGGGAGAAGGCACGCUGGCGGUAGGUAAAGUCCCUCGCGGACGGCGCUGAAGCCAGUCGAAGAUACCAGCUGGCUGCAACUGUUUAUUAAAAACACAGCACUGUGCAAACACGAAAGUGGACGUAUACGGUGUGACGCCUGCCCGGUGCUGGAAGGUUAAUUGAUGGGGUUAGCGCAAGCGAAGCUCCUGAUCGAAGCCCCAGUAAACGGCGGCCGUAACUAUAACGGUCCUAAGGUAGCGAAAUUCCUUGUCGGGUAAGUUCCGACCUGCACGAAUGGCGUAAUGAUGGCCAGGCUGUCUCCACCCGAGACUCAGUGAAAUUGAACUCGCUGUGAAGAUGCAGUGUACCCGCGGCAAGACGGAAAGACCCCGUGAACCUUUACUAUAGCUUGACACUGAACAUUGAGCCUUGAUGUGUAGGAUAGGUGGGAGGCUUUGAAGUGUGGACGCCAGUCUGCAUGGAGCCAACCUUGAAAUACCACCCUUUAACGUUUGAUGUUCUAACCUAGGCCCAUAAACUGGGUCGGGGACCGUGUCUGGUGGGUAGUUUGACUGGGGCGGUCUCCUCCUAAAGAGUAACGGAGGAGCACGAAGGUUGGCUAAGCAUGGUCGGACAUCAUGCGGUUAGUGCAAAGGCAUAAGCCAGCUUGACUGCGAGAGUGACGGCUCGAGCAGGUACGAAAGUAGGUCUUAGUGAUCCGGUGGUUCUGAAUGGAAGGGCCAUCGCUCAACGGAUAAAAGGUACUCCGGGGAUAACAGGCUGAUACCGCCCAAGAGUUCAUAUCGACGGCGGUGUUUGGCACCUCGAUGUCGGCUCAUCACAUCCUGGGGCUGAAGUAGGUCCCAAGGGUAUGGCUGUUCGCCAUUUAAAGUGGUACGCGAGCUGGGUUUAGAACGUCGUGAGACAGUUCGGUCCCUAUCUGCCGUGGGCGUUGGAAGAUUGAGAGGGGUUGCUCCUAGUACGAGAGGACCGGAGUGAACGCACCACUGGUGUUCGGGUUGUCAUGCCAAUGGCAUUGCCCGGUAGCUAAGUGCGGAAGAGAUAACCGCUGAAAGCAUCUAAGCGGGAAACUUGCCUCGAGAUGAGUCUUCCCUGUCGCUUUAAGCGACCUAAAGGAACGUUUAAGACUAAGACGUUGAUAGGCUGGGUGUGUAAGCGUAGCGAUACGUUGAGCUAACCA